GCAUAUCGUCACCCCGGCGGAGGCCGGGGUCUCGGGCGUCUCCAGCGAUGCCCGGCUCUCCUGAGACCCCGGCCUCCGGCGGGGUGACGCCAUAG
rnacentral:pre_miRNA from 1 species